rnacentral:rRNA from 1 species
GAUGAACGCUAGCGGCAGGCCUAAUACAUGCAAGUCGAACGGUGUCUUCGGACAUAGUGGCGCACGGGUGCGUAACACGUAUGCAACCUACCUUACAUUGGGGGAUAGCCUUUCGAAAGGGAGAUUAAUACCGCAUAAGACAGUAGCUGGGCAUCCAGCAGCUGUUAAAGAUUUAUCGAUGUAAGAUGGGCAUGCGUCCAAUUAGUUAGUUGGCGAGGUAAUGGCUCACCAAGACUUUGAUUGGUAGGGGAACUGAGAGGUCAAUCCCCCACACUGGCACUGAGAUACGGGCCAGACUCCUACGGGAGGCAGCAGUAGGGAAUAUUGGGCAAUGGACGCAAGUCUGACCCAGCCAUGCCGCGUGCAGGAUGAAGGCGUUAUGCGUUGUAAACUGCUUUUAUACAGGAAGAAACGACUCUUGCGAGAGGCAUUGACGGUACUGUAUGAAUAAGCACCGGCUAACUCCGUGCCAGCAGCCGCGGUAAUACGGAGGGUGCAAGCGUUGUCCGGAUUUAUUGGGUUUAAAGGGUGCGCAGGUGGUUUAUUAAGUCAGUGGUGAAAGACGGUCGCUCAACGAUUGCAGUGCCAUUGAAACUGGUAGACUUGAGUAAAGUAGAGGUGGGCGGAAUUGAUAGUGUAGCGGUGAAAUGCAUAGAUAUUAUCAAGAACUCCAAUUGCGUAGGCAGCUCACUUGGCUUUU